AUUGAACGCUAGCGGGAUGCCUUACACAUGCAAGUCGAACGGCGUGGCGAACGGGUGAGUAAUGGAUCGGAACGUGACCAGUCGCGGGGGAUAACUACGCGAAAGCGUAGCUAAUACCGCAUACUCUUGGAGCGGCCGAUAUCGGAUUAACUAGUUGGUGGUGUAACGGCUCACCAAGGCGACGAUCCGGAGCUGGUUUGAGAUGACGACCAGCCACACUGGGACUGAGAAACGGUCCAGACUCCUACGGUAGGCAGCAGUGGGGAAUUUUGGACAAGGGGGGAAACCCUGAUCCAGCCAUCCCGCGUGUGUGAUGAAGGCCUUCGGGUUGUAAAGCACUUUUGGCAGGAAAGCGGUACCCGCAGAAUAAGCACCGGCUAACUACGUGCCAGCAGCCGCGGUAAUUC
rnacentral:rRNA from 1 species